rnacentral:rRNA from 1 species
UAGAGUUUGAUCAUGGCUCAGGAUGAACGCUGGCGGCGUGCAUAACACAUGCAAGUCGAACGAUGAAGCCGAAGCUUGCUUUGGUGGAUUAGUGGCGAACGGGUGAGUAACACGUGAGUAACCUGCCCCUGACUCUGGGAUAAGCCUGGGAAACUGGGUCUAAUACCGGAUAUGACUGCGGAACGCAUGUUCUGUGGUGGAAAGAUUUAUCGGUUGGGGAUGGACUCGCGGCCUAUCAGCUUGUUGGUGAGGUAAUGGCUCACCAAGGCGACGACGGGUAGCCGGCCUGAGAGGGUGACCGGCCACACUGGGACUGAGACACGGCCCAGACUCCUACGGGAGGCAGCAGUGGGGAAUAUUGCACAAUGGGCGAAAGCCUGAUGCAGCGACGCCGCGUGAGGGAUGACGGCCUUCGGGUUGUAAACCUCUUUCAGUAGGGAAGAAGCGAGAGUGACGGUACCUGCAGAAGAAGCGCCGGCUAACUACGUGCCAGCAGCCGCGGUAAU